GUGUCAGCCGCCGCGGUAAGACGAACCGUCCAAACGUUGUUCGGAAUCACUGGGCUUAAAGGGCGCGUAGGCGGACUGCCAAGUCCGGGGUGAAAUCUUUCGGCUUAACCGGAAAAGGGCCUUGGAAACUGGCGGUCUCGAGGGAGGUAGGGGCCUGUGGAACUUCGGGUGGAGCGGUGAAAUGCGUUGAUAUCCGAAGGAACGCCGGUGGCGAAAGCGACGGGCUGGAUCUCUUCUGACGCUGAGGCGCGAAAGCCAGGGGAGCAAACGGGAUUAGAUACCCUUGUAGUCC
rnacentral:rRNA from 1 species